GUGGGGGAUAUUGCGCAAUGGGGGAAACCCUGACGCAGCAACGCCGCGUGGAGGAUGACGGUUUUCGGAUUGUAAACUCCUUUUAUGGGGGACGAACUAAGACGGUACCCCAUGAAUAAGCUCCGGCUAACUACGUGCCAGCAGCCGCGGUAAUACGUAGGGAGCAAGCGUUGUCCGGAUUUACUGGGUGUAAAGGGUGCGUAGGCGGCUUGGUAAGUCAGGUGUGAAAUGUAGAGGCUCAACCUCUGAACUGCACUUGAAACUAUCGAGCUUGAGUGAUGUAGAGGCAGGCGGAAUUCCCUGUGUAGCGGUGAAAUGCGUAGAGAUAGGGAGGAACACCAGUGGCGAAGGCGGCCUGCUGGGCAUUAACUGACGCUGAGGCACGAAAGCGUGGGUAGCAAACAGGAUUAGAAACCCGAGUAGUCC
rnacentral:rRNA from 1 species